rnacentral:rRNA from 1 species
GUGAGUCAUCGAGUCUUUGAACGCACCUUGCGCUCCUUGGUAUUCCUCGGAGCAUGCCUGUUUGAGUAUCAUGAAAUUCUCAAAAUAAAUCUUUUGUUAAUUCAAUUGGUUUCAUUUUGGACUUGGAGGUCUGCAGAUUCACGUCUGCUCCUCUUAAAUUCAUUAGCUGGAUCCCUGUGAACUCGGUUCCACUCGGCGUGAUAAGUAUCACUCGCUGAGGACACUGUAAAAAGUGGCCGGGGUUGCUGUAGAACCGCUUCUAAUAGUCUAUUCAAUUAGACAAUUUAUUUAUGAUCUGAUCUCAAAUCAGGUAGGACUACCCGCUGAACUUAA